rnacentral:miRNA from 1 species
AGGCUCCGCUCUGGCUAGCUUCC